GGAAUAAGGAAAGUUAGAUUUUGUUGGAACAAAUGAAUUGUGGAAUUUAUAAAUGAUAUUGCAGAGAAAAGUAAAUUGCAGUUUGCAUUUAAUAGCAGCUAUUCAGAUGCUGUAUUGUGGCAAUCUUUAUACACACAAUGUGAAAUUGCCAAUAGUGAAAUUGACAAGAAAUUGUUUGUUAAUAAGAAAAAAAAAAGAAAAGAAAAAAAAGAUCAGAAAUGUUAUGAAACUAGUCUGUACUUACAAUGCAUUGAUUUGUAAACGAAAUACAGGUAAAGAAAAUUUAGAAUCAGCAGAAAAAGAAAUAGAUUUGAAUGGGUUAACAGAAGACAAAUCAGAUUUAAAUGAACAGUGUAACAAUGUAACAGAGAGAACAUUGUCAGAAACAGUCUGUGAAUUAGAGGAUAGAGUUGAACUAAGAAAUGAUCUUAUUUGCCAGCUUAGAAAUGAAGUUAAGCACGAGUGUGUGUUAAUACAAGAAAAAUAAAGGCACAGAAUCUAAUCCCAGAACCAAUAGAUACUGAAAAUGUAUCCUCACAGAGUGAUUUGCAGAAAUAUAAAUUUCAAGACAGAGCUGCAAAACUUAAUUUGAAGAUCCAUGAACAAUUAAUGAAAAUUGUGAAAUGUAUUCCAGUUUAUGACACGUCAGUGGAUGCAUUCACUAAUGCUGAAAUGUUUGAGUCUAAUUUAGACAAAUACAGCCUAAAUGACGUACAAAGGAAUAGACUAUUUCAAAUAUGGCUGCCGACUCAAAUGGCAUGUAGGCUGACCGCGAUUGUAAAAUUUGAGGACAAUGGUGAAAUAAUAUAUGGAAAUAAGCGAGACAGAUUAACACAAUUAAUAAAAUUAACAACAGGGAAUGAUUUUGCAGACACUGAAAUGUUGGAAAAACUAAAACCAC